rnacentral:rRNA from 1 species
AAUAGAUACCCUGGUAGUCCACGCCGUAAACGAUGAGUGCUAAGUGUUAGAGGGUUUCCGCCCUUUAGUGCUGCAGCUAACGCAUUAAGCACUCCGCCUGGGGAGUACGGUCGCAAGACUGAAACUCAAAGGAAUUGACGGGGGCCCGCACAAGCGGUGGAGCAUGUGGUUUAAUUCGAAGCAACGCGAAGAACCUUACCAGGUCUUGACAUCCUCUGACAACUCUAGAGAUAGAGCGUUCCCCUUCGGGGGACAGAGUGACAGGUGGUGCAUGGUUGUCGUCAGCUCGUGUCGUGAGAUGUUGGGUUAAGUCCCGCAACGAGCGCAACCCUUGAUCUUAGUUGCCAGCAUUUAGUUGGGCACUCUAAGGUGACUGCCGGUGACAAACCGGAGGAAGGUGGGGAUGACGUCAAAUCAUCAUGCCCCUUAUGACCUGGGCUACACACGUGCUACAAUGGAUGGUACAAAGGGCUGCAAGACCGCGAGGUCAAGCCAAUCCCAUAAAACCAUUCUCAGUUCGGAUUGU